rnacentral:lncRNA from 1 species
UCAACAUGGCUGACAUUUCAAUGUCCACUCUUGCAACAUCAACUUGGUUGACUCUUGUUAUCGAGAUUGGGAUCAUUGACCGGCGAGGGAGGGAAACGGAAGUCCAGUGAGGGAGCAAGUAGUGGGAAGUGAGAGUUCAUGCUUUGUUUCUGGUUAUUUGAUGUCGUGCAGCUGCUGUUGAAGGAUCGUGGCAAGUGAUGCAGAGCCCUUCCUUGUGAGGUUUAGUUUCGACAAAUGGUUUUGCAGGUUAUCACGUCGUCAUUAUUGGCCUACUUGUAUAGGGUUUAUGCAGGACUACUUCAUAGGCAAGAUGUUGUUGUUUGUAAUUUGAUGAUGGCUUGUUGGAUGUUACAGGUUUAUGCAACGCUGUUGUUGGUAUGAUGCGGGCAUUUGAGGGGAAGCAUGGGGCUCGAAAUCAUCACAUGAACAAUAAUGGCAUUACAGGGAGAGUUUGAACGCAAGGGAAUGGAACAGUUGGCGCAACCGGGCUAUGAUGUACCAUGGUUUGCGGG